AAAUUUGAAAUCUGGCGCAAGCCCGAGUUGUAAUUUGUAGAGGAUGCUUCUGGGUAGCGACCGAUCUAAGUUCCUUGGAACAGGACGUCAUAGAGGGUGAGAAUCCCGUAUGUGACCGGCCCGCACCCUUUACGUAGCUCCUUCGACGAGUCGAGUUGUUUGGGAAUGCAGCUCUAAAUGGGAGGUAAAUUUCUUCUAAAGCUAAAUACCGGCCAGAGACCGAUAGCGCACAAGUAGAGUGAUCGAAAGAUGAAAAGUACUUUGGAAAGAGAGUUAAAAAGCACGUGAAAUUGUUGAAAGGGAAGCGCCUGCAACCAGACUUCGCGGCAGUGUUCCGCCGGUCUUCUGACCGGUUCAUUCUCUGUCGCGAGGCCAUCAUCGUCUGGGCCCGCCGGAUAAGACCUGAGGAAUGUGGCUCCCCCUCGGGGGAGUGUUAUAGCCUCUGGUGAUGCGGCGUGGCUCGGGCGAGGUCCGCGCUUCGGCAAGGAUGAUGGCGUAAUGGUUGUCGGCGGCCCGUCUUGAAACACGGACCAAGGAGUCUAACAUCUAUGCGAGUGUUCGGGUGUCAAACCCCUACGCGUAAUGAAAGUGAACGGAGGUGGGAACCGCAAGGUGCACCAUCGACCGAUCCUGAUGUCCUCGGAUGGAUUUGAGUAAGAGCAUAGCUGUUGGGACCCGAAAGAUGGUGAACUAUGCCUGAAUAGGGUGAAGCCAGAGGAAACUCUGG
rnacentral:rRNA from 1 species